AUUCGAUGAUACGCGAGGAACCUACCCGGGCUCGAACGGCAAGUGAACGAAACAGAGAUGUUGAGGCCCUUCGGGGCGCUUGUCGAGGUGCUGCAUGGUUGUCGUCAGCUCGUGCCGUGAGGUGUCGGCUCAAGUGCCAUAACGAGCGCAACCCUUGCUUCCAGUUACCAGCAUGUAGUGAUGGGGACUCUGGAAGGACUGCCACCGCAAGGUGAGAGGAAGGGGGGGAUGACGUCAAAUCAGCACGGCCCUUACGUCCGGGGCGACACACGUGUUACAAUGGCGGCCACAGAGGGAAGCCACCCUGCGAAGGGGAGCGAAUCUCGAAAAGCCGUCUCAGUUCGGAUUGUGGGCUGCAACCCGCCCACAUGAAGUCGGAGUUGCUAGUAAUCGCGGAUCAGCAUGCCGCGGUGAAUACGUUCCCGGGCCUUGUACACACCGCCCGUCACACCAUGGGAGUUGAUAGCACCCGAAACAGGUGAGGUAACCUUACGGAGCCAGCCUGCUAAGGUGAGAUCAAUGACUGGGGUG
rnacentral:rRNA from 1 species